GGAGCCCGCGGGAGGCCGCGCUUAGUCCGGGCCUGGGAGCUUCGGCCGUGCGAUGGAACCCAGGCGCCGGAUGCACCGUCCCGGGCCGGUCCGUCGUGGCCCGUGGCUUGAGCGUGUCUCCGCGAAGAAGCCGCGGGACAGAACAGGAGCCUUUGGCACAGCCGGCUUGGCUCAGGCCGUGCGUGACCGGAGCUAAUUUCAAAUUAUCUUUCUGUAAAUCUGCACAGACCCCCGGAAAUGGGAAGAGAAAAAAGCGCAGGCACCAAGGAUGCAUUUGCAUUUGCCCCCUGAGGGUGAAGUCUCACGGAUGCAAUGGGCAUUUCCCCUAGCACCUGACCUUGCCAAACGGGACAGUGCUCCCUGACCAGCCCCAGGCUCACCUCACCCUGCAGGGACCUGCUCAGCCUCGCCACAUCAGUGGAAAGCUGCUGUGCUGGGAAAUUGUGGAGGCUGCACCAGCAAGUCUGGAAAGGUGACAGGGACACACGGCCAACAGGCCAGGAACAGACACCACGAGGAAAAGGAACCCUGGGAACAUCUAGGAAAACCUGCAGCUCCAGGAGGCCAAAUGUGUGAGGUGCGGACCGAGGGUGGCUGGGCUCCCCUGCUCGCCCAGGCAGCCGUGUGGAGACAGCCCCGGAUCGCCCGAGCACCGGGAUAACCCGCGGGUGCUGCUCAUGGCUUUGGGCAGCGUUGUGACAGUGGUUAACGUUUAUCCCCUUUGUGUUUGUACACCGAGCGCUACCUGGGUGCUUUGGUUUAAAACUACUAAAUAAAUACAAACGUCACCGUGUUUUUAGCAAGAAACUGGAAAUAAAACUGGUGCA